AGAGUUUGAUCCUGGCUCAGGACGAACGCUGGCGGCGUGCUUAACACAUGCAAGUCACGGGGGCCAGCAAUGGCAACCGGCGAACGGGUGCGUAACACGUGAGCAACCUACCGAUUUGUGGGGGAUAGCCGGCCUAACGGCCGAGUAAUACCGCAUACGCUCACCGGGUCUCAUGACCUGGUGAGGAAACCUCCGGGGCAAAUCGAGGGGCUCGCGGCCUAUCAGCUAGUUGGCGAGGUCACGGCUCACCAAGGCGACGACGGGUAGCUGGUCUGAGAGGAUGGCCAGCCACAUUGGGACUGAGAAACGGCCCAGACUCCUACGGGAGGCAGCAGUGGGGAAUCUUGCGCAAUGGGCGAAAGCCUGACGCAGCGACGCCGCGUGGGGGAUGACGGGUUUCGGCUUGUAAACCCCUGUUGCCCGGGACGAAACGCCUUUUUCGAGAGGCUUGACGGUACCGGGUGAGGAAGCACCGGCUAACUCCGUGCCAGCAGCCGCGGUAAUACGGAGGGUGCGAGCGUUGUCCGGAAUCACUGGGCGUAAAGGGCGCGUAGGUGGCGGAUCAAGUCAACGGUGAAAGCUCGGCGCUCAACGCCGAGUCGGCCGUCGAUACUGGCUCGCUCGAGCACUGUAGAGGCAGAUGGAAUUCCGGGUGUAGCGGUGGAAUGCGUAGAGAUCCGGAGGAAGACCGGUGGCGAAGGCGGCCUGCUGGGCAGUUACUGACACUGAGGCGCGACAGCGUGGGGAGCAAACAGGAUUAGAUACCCUGGUAGUCCACGCCGUAAACGAUGGGUACUAGGUGCCUGGGGGAGCGACCCCUUGGGUGCCGGCGCUAACGCAGGAAGUACCCCGCCUGGGGAGUACGGCCGCAAGGCUGAAACUCAAAGGAAUUGACGGGGGCCCGCACAAGCGGUGGAGCAUGUGGUUUAAUUCGACGCAACGCGAAGAACCUUACCUAGGCUUGACAUGCAUGGGAAACUCCUGAGAAACCAGGAGCCUCCUUCGGGAUCCAUGCACAGGUGCUGCAUGGCUGUCGUCAGCUCGUGUCGUGAGAUGUUGGGUUAAGUCCCCAACGAGCGCAACCCUAAGGGCGAAUUCCA
rnacentral:rRNA from 1 species